AGAGUUUGAUCAUGGCUCAGGACGAACGCUGGCGGCGUGCUUAACACAUGCAAGUCAAGGGGGCCUGUAGCAAUACAGGCAACCGGCGAACGGGUGCGUAACACGUGAGCAACCUACCGAACUGUGGGGGAUAGCCGGCCUAACGGCCGAGUAAUACCGCAUACGCUUUCGAUGAGGCAUUUCAUUGAAAGGAAACCUACGGGACAGAUCGAGGGGCUCGCGGCCUAUCAGCUAGUUGGCGAGGUAACGGCUCACCAAGGCGACGACGGGUAGCUGGUCUGAGAGGAUGGCCAGCCACAUUGGGACUGAGAUACGGCCCAGACUCCUACGGGAGGCAGCAGUGGGGAAUCUUGCGCAAUGGCCUGACGGCUGACGCAGCGACGCCGCGUGUGGGAUGAAGCUCUUCGGAGUGUAAACCACUGUUGCCCGGGACGAAUAGCUCGAUUAAUCGAGCCUGACGGUACCGGGUGAGGAAGCACCGGCUAACUCCGUGCCAGCAGCCGCGGUAAUACGGGGGGUGCGAGCGUUGUCCGGAAUCACUGGGCGUAAAGGGCGCGUAGGUGGUUUGAUAAGGGUGUGGUGAAAGUCCGGGGCUCAACCCCGGAUCUGCCGUGCCGACUGUCAAACUCGAGGGCUGUAGAGGCAGACGGAAUUCCGGGUGUAGCGGUGGAAUGCGUAGAGAUCCGGAGGAAGACCGGUGGCGAAGGCGGUUCUGGGCAGUUUCUGACACUGAUGCGCGACAGCGUGGGGAGCAAACAGGAUUAGAUACCCUAGUAGUCC
rnacentral:rRNA from 1 species